rnacentral:rRNA from 1 species
CACGUAGGGCGCAAGCGUUGUCCGGAAUUAUUGGGCGUAAAGAGCGUGCAGGCGGCUCGAUAAGUCUGCUGUGAAAGUCCAGGGCUCAACCCUGGAAGGCCGGUGGAAACUGUCGGGCUAGAGUCCGGAAGAGGCGAGUGGAAUUCCCGGUGUAGCGGUGAAAUGCGCAGAUAUCGGGAGGAACACCAAUGGCGAAGGCAGCUCGCUGGGACGGUACUGACGCUGAGGCGCGAAAGCGUGGGGAGCAAACAGG